rnacentral:rRNA from 1 species
GACGAACGCUGGCGGCGUGCUUAACACAUGCAAGUCGAACGGAAAGGCCCUGCCUUUGUGGGGUGCUCGAGUGGCGAACGGGUGAGUAACACGUGAGUAGCCUGCCCUUGACUUUGGGAUAACUUCAGGAAACUGGGGCUAAUACCGGAUAGGAGCUCCUGCUGCAUGGUGGGGGUUGGAAAGUUUCGGCGGUUGGGGAUGGACUCGCGGCUUAUCAGCUUGUUGGUGGGGUAGUGGCUUACCAAGGCUUUGACGGGUAGCCGGCCUGAGAGGGUGACCGGCCACAUUGGGACUGAGAUACGGCCCAGACUCCUACGGGAGGCAGCAGUGGGGAAUAUUGCACAAUGGGCGGAAGCCUGAUGCAGCAACGCCGCGUGCGGGAUGACGGCCUUCGGGUUGUAAACCGCUUUCGCCUGUGACGAAGCGUGAGUGACGGUAAUGGGUAAAGAAGCACCGGCUAACUACGUG